GUCUGCGUUCUGAUUGGCCGACGCUCGAAAUUCAAAAAAAAGAGAAAUGAAGAGAAGGCUCGAGACGGACGUGUGUUAAAGAAAAAAUAGAGAAAUAAAACUUUUCACUAAAUAAACGUCGAUUUUAACCGGGAAUAAAGUGAUAAUCGAAGAGAUUCGGAGUUUGUUUUAUUUUUCUGGACCGGGGACGGAUUUUAUAAAGAAAGCCAUGCCACCGAAGCGGGCGAGCGUGGCCGAAGCCGGGCUGGGGAAGAAGCCGCCUCUCCCGGCACCGACUCGGGUUCGUGUGGCGGUGAGGCUGCGCCCUUACAUCAGCCGCGAAGACGAGGGCAAGGAGGGACCCUGCGUGCGGGGAACGGGAGACCGGUCCCUGGAAAUCCUCAACUGGAGAAACCGCAUGGAAACCAUGAGCUACCAUUUUGAUGCAUUCUAUGGAGAGACCUCUUCUCAGCUGGAGGUGUACACAGGCUCGGUGAAGCCGGUUCUAUCUCACCUGCUGUCCGGCCAGAACACCAGCGUCUUUGCAUACGGGCCCACAGGGGCAGGUAAGACUCACACCAUGCUGGGAGGAGCGGAGGAGCCAGGCGUGAUCCCCAGGGCUGUGAGGGACGUGUUCCAGAUGGUGAGGGAGCAGAGCGGCCUGCCGGCCAGUCAGGAGUGGGAGCACAGCGUCAGCAUGUCCUACCUGGAGAUCUACAACGAGAAGGUUUUGGACCUGCUUGAGCCCCGGGACCUGGACCUCCCGAUCCGAGAGGAUAAAGACAAGAACAUCCUGAUCCCGGGCCUGACCCAGCGAGCCAUCGGCUCCUUCUCGGAGUUCGAGAGCCACUUCCUGCCGGCCAGCCACAACCGGACCGUGGCCAGCACCAAACUGAACACGCGAUCCAGCCGGAGCCACACUGUGCUGGUGAUCCGGGUAGUCAAGUCCCAGCGGUCUCCUCCCUUCAGACAGCUUACCGGGAAGCUCUACCUGAUCGACCUGGCCGGCUCGGAGGAUAACAGGCGGACCGGGAACCAGGGAAUCCGGCUGAAAGAGAGCGGGGCCAUCAACUCCUCUCUGUUCGUGCUGAGCAAAGUGGUGGACUCCCUGAACCAGGGUCUGGCCAGAGUGCCUUACAGAGACAGCAAACUCACCAGACUACUUCAGGAUUCCCUGGGUGGAUCGGCUCACAGCGUGAUGAUCACAAACAUCGCUCCGGAGCAGAAAUAUUACUUUGACACCCUGACCGCCCUCAACUUCGCUGCCAGGUCCAAGCAGGUUGUGAACAAGCCCUUCACCAGAGAGACCCUGCAGGCUGCCGAUCUGAAGAGGCAGCGAGAGGAAAGCGCUCCCAAUGAAAAUGCUCCCAAGAAGAGAGCCAAGCAGUCACAUGACCGCGCCGCUGAUGUGACCGUGUCUCCUACAGCGCACAGCCCCCCUAUGGAGGUGUGUGACCCCUCUGUGCUGGAGAGGCUGCUCACCCUGGAGAAGAUGAUGAUGGGAACCCCAGAGAAAGAGAGGCUGAAACUGCUGCGGACCGUGCAGGAGAGCAGGCAGGAGAUCAAGAAGCUGAAAGAGAAGCAGAAGGAGUUGGAGGAGCAAGCGCUGGCCGCCCAAUCUCUGCUGGCAGAGAGCCGCAAAGCUGCCAGUCUUCCCAGUGCCAGCGACGAGCCCCAAGACCUGUUCAUGAACCACAAGCACCCCUCCCUGCUACGCAAAACCAGCACAGCCAAGCCCAAGAAACAGCAAGCCAUCGUCUCUCCACUGCAAGUGCUUCCAGUGCUGCCUCUGACUCACGCCAUCGUGAGCUGCAAAGCUGAGCAAAUGAAGAUGAAGUCCCACGUUCCGGAAGGCAAGGAGAACUGGGAGAACUGGGAGACUCGUCUGGACUCCUCUGUCCUGCAGAAAUCCCGGGAUCGGAUCCUGAGCCUCCUGAACACAGGAACCCUGAAAGAGCUGAAGGGAUUGCAGAGGAUCGGAGACAAGAAGGCAAAGCUGAUCAUAGGCUGGAGAGAGAUCAACGGGGCCUUCACACAGGUGAGGAGAGGGGCUGGAGAGAGAUCAACGGGGCCUUCACACAGGUGAGGAGAGGGGCUGGAGAGAGAUCAACGGGGCCUUCACACAGGUGAGGAGAGGGGCUGGAGAGAGAUCAACGGGGCCUUCACACAGGUGAGGAGAGGGGCUGGAGAGAGAUCAACGGGGCCUUCACACAGGUGAGGAGAGGGGCUGGAGAGAGAUCAACGGGGCCUUCACACAGGUGAGGAGAGGGGCUGGAGAGAGAUCAACGGGGCCUUCACACAGGUGAGGAGAGGGGCUGGAGAGAGAUCAACGGGGCCUUCACACAGGUGAGGAGAGGGGCUGGAGAGAGAUCAACGGGGCCUUCACACAGGUGAGGAGAGGGGCUGGAGAGAGAUCAACGGGGCCUUCACACAGGUGAGGAGAGGGGCUGGAGAGAGAUCAACGGGGCCUUCACACAGGUGAGGAGAGGGGCUGGAGAGAGAUCAACGGGGCCUUCACACAGGUGAGGAGAGGGGCUGGAGAGAGAUCAACGGGGCCUUCACACAGGUGGAAGACUUACAAAAAAUAGAAGGCAUUUCAGAAAAGCUGCUCGUUUCAUUUCUAAAGGCAAAUAUCCUCAGCACGAUAGU